AAAACUUAAAGCGUUUCUUUCAUUUGACGUCAUUACCGUUUUUUCCCAAUUGGUGGAAAUUUACCUGAGUAGGGUGGAAAAUUUUAAAACCAGGAAGCAAUGCCUUCAAUGUGUGCGGAGACCAGUGGCAGCGUCAGUUAACAGUUCAAACAUUCAUCUGUAGCUACCGAGUACCUGAAUGGUAUGCUGUGAAAACAUCCUUCGACUUUAAUAUUUGGGAUAAGACAAAAGGACUGGACCGCAAGAGUUAACAUCUUGCCUUAGCAUUUUGCCAGUUGGUUGCCUGGGGCUUCAUCAGAUGGAUGAUCAGCUGCUUUCUAUAAGGGCUCCAGUUGAGGAGGAGGCCCUAGAGUCAUUCCAGGACAUGCUGGGUGGACUCCGUUGCACGGCUGGCCUUUAAAUGCCUCUGGGUCCCUCCGGAGGAACUGGAUGAAGUUGCCGGGGAGCAGAAAGUCUGGGUUUCCCUCCUGAAGCUGCUCCUCCAGCAAUCCGACCUCGCUUAUCGUGGUAGAAGAUGGUAUGUUAUGGUAGCUGCAAAAUAAAUAUUAAUAAGCAACGUUUGGUUUCUAUAAAUCACUAAAGUGUUCGCUUGCCUUAA